rnacentral:rRNA from 1 species
AUUGAACGCUGGCGGCAGGCCUAACACAUGCAAGUCGAACGAGUGGCGGACGGGUGAUUAAUGUUUGGGAAACUGCCUGAUGGAGGGGGAUAACUACUGGAAACUGUAGCUAAUACCGCAUACCAUCGGAUGUGCCCAGAUGGGAUUAGCUAGUAGGUGGGGUAAAGGCUCACCUAGGCGACGAUCACUAGCUGGUCUGAGAGGAUGACCAGCCACACUGGAACUGAGAAACGGUCCGGACUCGUCCGGGAGGCAGAAGUGGGUAAUAAUGCACAAUGGGAGAAAGCCUGAUGCAGCCAUGCCGCGUGUAGGAAGAAGGCCUUCGGGUUGUAAAGUACUUUCAGCGGUGAGGCGUUAACCGCAGAAGAAGCACCGGAUAACUCCGUGCCAGCAGCCGCGGUAAUAG